rnacentral:rRNA from 1 species
UACGGUGGGGGCUAGCGUUGUUCGGAAUCACUGGGCGUAAAGCGCGUGUAGGCGGCUUUGCGAGUCGGGUGUGAAAUCCCGAGGCUCAACCUCGGAACUGCACUCGAUACUGCUUGGCUCGAGUCCCGGAGAGGGUGGCGGAAUUCCCGGUGUAGGGGUGAGAUCCGUAGAUAUCGGGAGGAACAUCAGUGGCGAAGGCGGCCACCUGGACGGUGACUGACGCUGAGACGCGAAAGCGUGGGGAGCAAACAGG